GGUUUCGUGGUGUAGUUGGUUUAUCACGUCAGUCUAACACACUGAAGGUCCCCGGUUCGAGCCCGGGCGAAAUCA